UACAGAGGGGGCAAGCGUUGUUCGGAAUUACUGGGCGUAAAGGGCGCGUAGGCGCCUUCUAAGUCGAACGUGAAAUCCCCGGGCUCAACCCGGGAACUGCGUCCGAUACUGGAAGGCUUGAAUCCGGGAGAGGGAUGCGGAAUUCCAGGUGUAGCGGUGAAAUGCGUAGAUAUCUGGAGGAACACCGGUGGCGAAGGCGGCAUCCUGGACCGGUACUGACGCGUGAGGCGCGAAAGCGUGGGGAGCAAACAGG
rnacentral:rRNA from 1 species